ACUUUUAGUCACCAAUUUUACCUUUUUAUAAUGACAUUGUAAGAACUAAUGGGUUGGUUUGGGUGAAUUGACAUUUCCCAAAUAUCUGAAAAUGACACAUUCACAGGUUUAGUAAUUUUUGCACUUGGUUAUAGAGUUCUUGCAGUUUAUAUAUAAUAAACUGCCUUAACCAUCCCUUCCCCUUGUUUGCCAUUUGUCCAGCAGAAUGUCUGCAAUUCAGUGUGAGGAUUUAUUGUAAAGUAUGUUCAGGAAAUGAAAGGAUAAAUAAAAGUGAAAGUUCACUGCAGGUAGUGUAGGGAGAAAAAAGUGACUAAAAUACUGCAUUUUUCUCUCCUACAACUACAAAUACCUAAAGAGGUAAAAAAGAAAAUUGUUUCUCCUAGGAAGUAGGGUGAUUAAUUCUGGUAACUAGGAAUUUUCUCUUUGGGAAUCUGACCCCUUAAAAAUAGCAUUGAGUUGGGCCUUAAAAUAGUCAAUAGUGAAAUAAAAACCUAGCAAGAUUAGCAUAAAAGAAAGGAAUUCUUUCUAUACUACUAUGCCAGCAUUGCAGAAGACACUUAAAAGAAUUCUACACAUAGAAGAAGAUUUAAAACAAACAAGAUAUCUUGCAUAAGAAUAAAUUAAUUAGAAGUCUGGAUGAAUAUGUAACAAUUAGGAUAGAACAAACAUUAAAUGUAAAUCAAAAUGACAAAAAAUAGCACAUUACUUUCUAUAAUAACACUGAAUAUUUAAAAAAGUCAAUAGUAUUUGACACAGAAGAGGAAAAUAUAAUAGAGGUAAAAGUGAGUAGAUAAUGUAAAAAGAUGUAGAAUGUCCAGCAGCUCAAGUAGAGAAAGUGUGUCUUUGAAAGGUAUAUUGGGGUAAGAACACAGGCCCUUGAACGACAUGUUGAAGAGCUUCAGCUUUAUUAUGUAAGCAUGGCAGAAUCAUCAGAUUUGAGGAAAGGAAUGAGAUUCUUCAAAAACAAAAUUGGUAUUAUGAAAAGGUGAUAAAGGGGACAAAACAGGAAGACCACUUGAACAUAAAUAUUUUAAUAGCUCAAAAGAGAAAAGGGCAUUUUGAACAUUGUCAGAGGGAAUGUAAAGACAGCUUGUUUUGGAGCAUUGGAAUGAAGGGUGAGGAAAGAAGCCUUUUUAGGUCUAGUGACUAGACAAAUUACCAAGUAGGGAACUGGGCCGGCGGAUUGGAAUUAUACAGGAAGAUAAUUUUGAUUUGGUUUGUUGAACUUUUUGGAUGUCCUGUAGGUAGUGCACGUGGAAAGGCAUAGCAAAUAGAAGAUAGGUCAGACCUAGAGAUACAGCUUAGGUAAACAGUGCACAGAAACAAUAAUUAUAACAUUAAAAUGGAACUGAAAUAUGUCUUCCCAUAUCCUAUUUUCUCUCAUAAGGCUUAAUGUGUUUCCUGGUACUUUUCAUCCUCUUCGCUUCCUAUGGCAACUUCAACUAUGGUAGUCAAAUUAGUCGUUGAAUUGGAAUGUAUUAUGAAACAGUUUUACACAAGGAUUGGUUCUUUACCUACCUGUAAAAGUGACAAUAGACCUAAUUUAAGUUUUAAAUUUGAUAGCAACUAUCUGUUGGUGAAAAGGAGCAACAAUGUCACCUUCCUUUUCUAUAGUCAAAGAUAACAUUCUAAACCACCAACCCAGUAUGCCUUGCUGAGGUUUUUUUUUUUUUUUUUUGGUACUGGAGAUUGAGCUACAUCCCUGCUGGGUUCAAUGCCUGGGACACUCUCCCCCCCUCCCUCCGAAAAAAAGUGUUGAAGCAGGUAUCCUCGGUCAUAAACUUAGUGACAUCCACUCCUUCAUCUUCCAUGCUAAGGCUGGUGCUGCCCUCAGUGAUGACUUUUGUCAGGCUCAUUUUCUGUCCUGACAGUGAAUUUGGCUAUAGCAAUAGGACGGUGGACAUUAUGGCCUCCAAAGAGUAGAAGCCCCUGGACCACCAACCCCAGUAAUAUCUUUUUUUGUUGUUUUUUUGGUACCCUGGGGAUUGAAUCCAGGGGUGCUUAACAACUAAGCCACAUUCCCAGACCUUUUUAUUUUUUAUUUUGAGACUGGGUGUCACUAAGUUGCUGAGGCUGCCCUUGAAUUUGCAAUCCUCCUGCCUCCUGAGUUGUUGGGAUUAUAGGCCUGCACCACCAUGCCUGGCUCCCAGUGAGAUCAUGAGAGGAAAAGAGAGGCCUCUCUGCUGCUGUGGAAUCCCUGCCUCAACUCAAGUCAUCAGACACACUGAGAACCACCGCCCCCCUCCUCCCAGUUUCCAUCUCAGAUCUUCUGAAUAAGGGAAGGGAUUAGGGAAUCUACUCUUUUAGGUACCAUCAAUAAAGUCCACUGCACCCAUCUCCCUGUGCUCCCCCGAAAAGAGUAGGGGAUGAUCUGCUUGUUGAACCUAACCCCUUUUCUUUAAAUCUCUUGGAUUAAAUAGUCUGGAAUUAAUCUUGACAGUUUUCAAAUUGUUACUUUUCAUAUCUUUGUAAUUAUCUUGAGGUUCUAAAUUAAAUAUACUAAAAUGUAUGUAAGUAAUGUUCCCAACACCCAGGAAUUGUAUUGGCCAAAUUUAAGUUGGAAUUAAAAAUGCCCUGGCUCAGUGGUAGAGAGCUCGCCUAGCAUGCACGAGGCACUGAGUUUGAUCCUCAGCACCACAUAAUUGUAAAAUAAAGAUAUUGUGUCCACAUAAAACUUAAAAAUAAAUAUUAAAAAACCCCCAAAUUUUAUUACAAUUUAGUAUUUACAAAAGGUGUACAUUUACUGAGGGUUUACUGUUAAUAUUUUAGAAUUAUUUUCCCAAGCAGGGUUUAUAAUCAUGUGUCUAGAACUGGCUACACAAAUUUAGAAUUCAUUAGAGGACUAGUUUUUCAUAGAUUAUGUGGCAUUAAUUAUUGUUUUUGAAUUAAGUAAUGGUAGAAAGGGACAAAUGGGAGAACUGGUAGCAUCUACAUGGGUAAUUUUUGAAAAUUAGAUGCACAUUUGUCAAAGAAACCACUAUGUGAGUGUGGCUUUCUGGUUAUAAAGGUACCGGGAGUGAUUCUUGAGUUACAGUGGUUUCACUUAACCAUUUUCAACUUUACAAUGGUGUGAAAAUGAUUUGUAGUCUAUAAAGACUAGAUUUGGAGUUUUGAAAUUUGAUCUUGGGCUAUUGAUAGUGGUAAGAUGCUUGUGAUGCUAGGCAGUGAUAGUGAGCCACAGCUUCCAGUCAGCCAACAGAUCUUGAGGGGAAACAACUAAGGCUGUUCACAUAUUUGGUAGGUUACCUAUGUUAAAUGCAUUUCAACGUACAAUGGGUUUGUCAUGACAACCCAUCACUGAUCGAGAAGCAUCUGUGGAUACUGAUCACAUUCCUCAUAGCUGGUUUUAUAUAUAUAGUUUCUCAUAAUUAUGGAGUAAUGCUCUAAAAUUAGAGCUUGUUAAUCUGACUAGUUGUCAAGUCUGAAUUAUAGCUGUACUCCUGACAGGCUAAAAUCUUGGAAAAGGAUAGCAGUUACAACACAUUUUCCUUUUUUUUAAAGCAAAAUAAGCUAAAUGGUUUUUUUUCUUUUUCAUUUCAGAGUUUUUCUUUAAAUAACAAGCUGUUUUUUCCUUUUUAUAAACAUUUUGAUGCUUUUUGGUUAUUUCCAGCAUGCAAAUGUUUAAAUUAAACCCCAAAUUUUCUAACAGUAAAGAUCUUUAUAAACAGGAAGAUUUUUAUUAUGAUACUUUUUACCUGGCAACAUGGUAUAAUAGAGGGCUUUGAUUCAAAACCUUUGACAGAGUACAACUGGGGGGAUUUUUCUGAUAUAAAACAAAGGCUCACAAUCAUCCCUUCCAAAGUUGAACAGAAUUAACCUUAUUUUUCAAGUAAACAGACAUUUACUACUCUCAAAUUUUAGAAGGGAUUGAUAUCAAAGAUAGGAAUUGCUUCUUUCCACCAGCCUUUCAAGUCGUUAUGCAUUUAUGCCAGUUUACUUAACCCCAUGUAUACUUCUUAAAUUCCUGUAAUCGUUUGAUGUCUGAGACCAAAUCUUGAAUUUCAAGAAUAAAACAGUGAUGUUUAUGAAAGCUGUUCAACUAAGGUCUUCUGACUGCUCUUUAGCUAAUUUAGAAUACCCAUUAUGAACAUUCCAUUUUUUAAAACUGUGUUAAACUCAAAAUAAUUGGGAUAGAUGGAUAGAUGGAUAGAUAUGUGAUAAGGCAAGUGUAGUUUACUGUUACAGAAUUUAGAUAGUGGAUAUAUGGGUGUUGACCAUAAAAUUCCCACUGAAGCAUUUUAUAAUAAAAUAUUGAAGAAAACAAAAUUGGAGAAAACUAAGGCUGCUUUACCUAGUUACUCCACUAUUAUAAUUCUACAGUUCAUUUACAAUAGCAUGCAGUACAAAUCAUCUUUUGAGUUUGUAAACUCCCAAUCUCCUUAAUGUUUUUCUUUGCACUUUCAAGUAUGUUGGUUAGUUGGUUAUGUCUAAAACAAUAGAACAACUCUAGCCAAUGGCUGAAAUACCAAAGCUAUUAAGAACAUUAAGACAAAUUAGAGAAAGAUUAGAAAAAGUAUUAGUUUUUUAAAAUGUG
rnacentral:lncRNA from 1 species